rnacentral:lncRNA from 1 species
AAAGUCCAGAAGAAGGAAAGAGCAAGAAGGUGAGGAAAAUAACUGUUGCCAGAAUAAAAAUUAACUGAAGCUUGAGAAGAGUGAUCAUAAGACCAGAGGGAGGUUCCCUGGAGAAAAGUGUGGUAGCUUCAGUUUGGUUUUUCAGUAUUUUCAACUGACAAUCAGUAGUUAAUUUUUUUUUCCUAUUAAAUUUGUUCACAGGGCCAUUUUACAUAAAUGUGGCACAUAAUUUUUUCUGAGCUGUGGUUCUUAAAUUUAAAGUAAAUGGAAGAUGGUUAAGCAUGGUAAUGUUUUUAACCAUCCUGACUGCUCUACUGGCACUAGUAUCAGAAGUGUCCGCAGAUGCCACUUAUAGCAACUAAAUAUUUCCAUGGUGGUAAAGAAAUGUCAGUAAAAUCUAUGUACUUUAAGAACAUCAAAUUCUUAUUAUACUUAUCAUGUGUGCAGGCGGAGUACAUAAUAAACUAGUCCAUAGCAGCUGUAAAUUUCUGAGGAUUUAUCUAACCACAAAUACAUUGAAAUGGGGAAAUAGGCUAUAUUAAACCAUGCAAGAUGCUGCUGGAGCUUUGCCCUUUCUGCAACAUCCUGUAAUUAAUUUAUCAUGACAGGUCUGGCAAACUGAAACACCCAAUACACUUGCGACAGUCUGUUACACUGUAGUUGUUGGAGACCCUGCAGUCACAUAAAGUGAAGGUAGAUUUUUCUUUCAAACAUGAAGAUAGUACUUGUAUUUAGAAUGCCUUGUAGCCACGGACAGACUUGUCACUUUUGAAUUUCAAAAAAGAACAUCUAGAAUAUAGAACAGAUCUUGGGCUGAGAUAAGGUAUUUAGUCUGUCCUCUGCACUUUGUGGUCUUUUCCUGAAGAGGGAAGGCCCUGCGUAGGAGACAUGCAGUCGGGGCCACCAUUCCCAUGCAUACCUGCUGCUGACCUGAUCGGUUUCUCUCCUGGGACUUUUGAAGGUCACUUCCCUCCUGGUAGUCUCUCAGACACAUCUUCUUCCUGGAAGGAAGAUUCACAAGACCACCUCUUCCAUCCAGGUGUCCUCCUCUUCUGGAAGCCCCAGUGCUGCCAUUUUGUAAACUUAGAGCACAGUUAAAUUCAGAAUUUAUCCCUACUCCAACCCCCUCCAGUCCAGAGAAAGAAAAUAAUGUAAUAAUGCGGUGGAUUUUUUUUUUUUUUUUUUUUUUUUGGCCAAAAUAGAUUUUCUUCUAAAACUGAGAUCUGGGGUAACUGGCUGGGGACUGGUUAGUCAGUAGAGCAUGUGACUCUGGAUUUCAGGGUUGUGAGUUUGAGGCCCAUGUUGAGUGUAGAGUUUACUUUAAAAAAUAAUAAACUCUUAAACAAUGAGUUCUUUGUCAGUUUGUAUCAAUGUAAAAGAAUGAUCCCCUCUUGAUGUGUCAUCUGAUACAGUGUUACCGUGGUUGAUGCUUAGGGUGGAUCUUAGUAAACAGGCUCCUUGCUAGAGGAGUAGAGAUACCACCCCUAAAAAUGAAAUCUACGUUCAGUCAGUGUCCACAGCUUUGCCCAUGCCCUUUGGAAGGUCAGAGUUCUCAGACCACAAACAAGUGGACCCAAGGGGGAGUCUUCCUUGAAUCUGGAAGUCUCAGUGAGAGGGAAUAGGUCCCAGGUAGUAGAGAGUAAGAGUGUUGCUCAACAGAAACAGGUAAGAAGUCAGGCAAGGAUAGAGGUUCCAGCCCAGUCACCCAAGGCUAACUGUAAACAUUUAUGUUCUUUAUAUUUUCUCCAGUCCUUACUAGUUCUCUUGGUCCUUACUUUAGAAAAUGGAUCCUAUCUCAGAGGACCUGAGAAACCUGUUGCUUCGGCCUAAGUUUAAAAACAAACAAACAAACAAACAAAACAAAACAAAACAAAAAAAAA